GACAGAGGAUGCAAGCGUUAUCCGGAAUUAUUGGGCGUAAAGAGCUCGUAGGCGGUUUGUCGCGUCUGCUGUGAAAACUGGGGGCUCAACCCCCAGCCUGCAGUGGGUACGGGCAGACUAGAGUGCGGUAGGGGAGAUUGGAAUUCCUGGUGUAGCGGUGGAAUGCGCAGAUAUCAGGAGGAACACCGAUGGCGAAGGCAGAUCUCUGGGCCGUAACUGACGCUGAGGAGCGAAAGCAUGGGGAGCGAACAGG
rnacentral:rRNA from 1 species